rnacentral:lncRNA from 1 species
UUCAAGUGCUAAAUGACAAAUACCCUCUUUUGAUGUGUUGUCAUUCAUUCCAAUAUCUUUUAAUUUAGUUCCAUUUCUUACAAUUGAUAGAAAAACUUUGAACUCUAAUGAUGAUCUUCAGGAAAACAAAUAUCUGAAUUUGCUCAAGCAUUGUGGAUUCUGCCUCUUAAGUUUAGAAAUGGCUCAAGAUUUUAUCAGCACUACAUACUUUUAGAUGUUAGGCCUUCAUUUGUGGUUAAACUAGCUAUCAGUCGGCCAUGGUAGCAUGAAAGUGUUUGCCUAUUUUCGUUUGACAAAAACAUAGUCAUUUUACACAACAGAAAUUAUAUUAUGAAAACAUUUAGGGAAAACACAGAUUCAUAAUCUGAUUUCUUCUUCUCAACUAUAUAUAUUUUCAACCAUGAUUUAUGGUUCAAUCAUCUUUUCCUGAAACAGGACUAUAUAGGCACCAAAAUUGUGGCUUUUUUAGAAACACUGUGCAAAUAAUUCUUGCCAUGUCUCUAUAGUUGUUGGGUUUCAUUAUUAUGUUAUGAAUAGGUGAAGCUAAGAAUAAUAGUUCGUAAAUUUAAAAGGUAGCAGGCUAAUUGCACUCUCAGUCGUGAAUAUAUGUGCAUGUGAGGAGCUAAAGGUCAAACACUGUUUCAC